rnacentral:rRNA from 1 species
UCGAACGCUUCUUUUUCCACCGGAGCUUGCUCCACCGGAAAAAGAGGAGUGGCGAACGGGUGAGUAACACGUGGGUAACCUGCCCAUCAGAAGGGGAUAACACUUGGAAACAGGUGCUAAUACCGUAUAACAAUCAAAACCGCAUGGUUUUGAUUUGAAAGGCGCUUUCGGGUGUCGCUGAUGGAUGGACCCGCGGUGCAUUAGCUAGUUGGUGAGGUAACGGCUCACCAAGGCCACGAUGCAUAGCCGACCUGAGAGGGUGAUCGGCCACAUUGGGACUGAGACACGGCCCAAACUCCUACGGGAGGCAGCAGUAGGGAAUCUUCGGCAAUGGACGAAAGUCUGACCGAGCAACGCCGCGUGAGUGAAGAAGGUUUUCGGAUCGUAAAACUCUGUUGUUAGAGAAGAACAAGGAUGAGAGUAACUGUUCAUCCCUUGACGGUAUCUAACCAGAAAGCCACGGCUAACUACGUGCCAGCAGCCGCGGUAAUACGUAGGUGGCAAGCGUUGUCCGGAUUUAUUGGGCGUAAAGCGAGCGCAGGCGGUUUCUUAAGUCUGAUGUGAAAGCCCCCGGCUCAACCGGGGAGGGUCAUUGGAAACUGGGAGACUUGAGUGCAGAAGAGGAGAGUGGAAUUCCAUGUGUAGCGGUGAAAUGCGUAGAUAUAUGGAGGAACACCAGUGGCGAAGGCGGCUCUCUGGUCUGUAACUGACGCUG